rnacentral:rRNA from 1 species
GGCGAACGCUGGCGGCGGGCCUAACACAUGCAAGUCGAACGAACUCUUCGGAGUUAGUGGCGGACGGGUGAGGAACACGUGGGAACGUGCCGUUUGGGUCGGAAUCACGCAGGGAAACUUGUGCUAAUACCGAAUGUGCCCUUGGUGGGAAAGAUUUAUCGCCAUUAGAGCGGCCCUCGUCCGAUUAGCUAGUUGGAGAGGUAAAGGGUCACCAAGGCGACGAUCAGUAGCUGGUCUGAGAGGUUGACCAGCCACACUGGGACUGAGACACGGCCCAGACUCCUACGGGAGGCAGCAGUGGGGAAUCGUGCGCAAUGGGCGAAAGCCUGACGCAGCCAUGCCGCGUGAACGAUGAAGGUCUUAGAAUUGUAAAAUUCUUUCACCUGGGACGAUAAUGACGGUACCAUGAGAAGAAGCCCCGGCUAACUUCGUG